GCGGUGCUGGGAAUAGGGCGCCAGAUGUCGGAGGAUGCAGCUCCCAGGAGGUAGGCAGUGGGAGCCGGCGUUCAGUCUGGCCCGUGCCAACAGUAGUUCCUCUCUCCCCCGUAGUUCGAGGAGACCACGCGCUGCCCCUCUGGCACGAUCGUGGAUGAACCCCCUGGCAACUGAAAUGGGAAAGGCAGCGCCCCCGACUCUGGGGAGUGGACCGCACUCCACGGUAGUGACAGCUGCCAGACCCUGGGGAGAGGACGAGAAGACCCGAGCCCUCUGCUGCGAACACUGGCAGCCGAUGGAAAAUCCAGACGGAAUUGGGACAGUAUGCAGAGUUCUCCAAGCGACAGAUUAACCGAGGCUCUGUACCACGUGUUCUGCUCAAAAGAAGGCCUGAAUGCCCAGUGCCUUAUUUGGCUUUCAGGACAGGGUCUUGCUGUGUCACCCAGGCUGCAGUACAGUGGUGCAAUCAUAGCUCACUGCUGCCUCAAACUCGUAGACUCAAGCACUCCUCCUGCUUCAGCCUCCCGAGUAGCUGGGACUAUAGGUAGGUGAUGGGCGCCACAGGAACAGAGCAAACGUUCGCUCCUGCCUCCUACGUGGUGUUUCCUCGAAACCUGAGGCUCAGCAGACUUGUCAUCACUUAAAACCCAAUUUAGAGUGGGGGGCACUACCAGUGAAUAGUUCAUCACUGACUCAGUUUCCCCAUGUGUAUGCUGUGGUAUUGGAUCAGCAACUAGAUAAGAUGAUCUCUCCCAUUUCUGAGCGUCUACGAUGAUUCUGAGGCACAAGGUCACAUUUGACAGUACCAGGAAACAACAAGCAAAGAUGACAAAGGAUGUGUCUGCUUGGGCAGAUGAUCUAUUUGGACAAGAUAAUAGACCCAGGCAUGGACAUGCUCUCCAAGAAAGAUGCCCUAACAGCUGCUCAAACUGAAGCUGAAUCAAACAUUCCAAUCCUUAGAGGUUCCAGGUAAGAUCUUGGAGGCUCCCUGGGCCACUGACAUAAUGGCCACGCCAUGCCAAUGAUAAAACACCAAUUGUGGCUUUGUUUUGGACAGAAAUAAAGAGCCCAGUUUGUUAGUGAUUUACUGGUAAUAACUGAAUCAAGUACUAAUACUUGGCGAUUUUAAAAGCUAUCAUGUUAAAAAGACCACCUGAUUCCCAGUGACCCUGCAGUGACUGGGUUUGGGCAGCUCAUCCCCUGUACCUGUUUGGGGCUGUGCCAGCCACUUCCAGUGCGAACAUUGCAUUAACUUGCGGUCGCAGACUUAGCUGGACCCCUUGAACCAAAUUCCUUUCUGACAUUAUCAGACCCCAAAUAAAAGAGCUCACCAGGCCCCUCAGCCUACGUGACCCACCUGCCCAGUGAAA